UCAGACAUGCAAGUCGAACGAUUAAGACUUCCUUCGGGAAGUGCAUAAAGUGGCGCACGGGUGAGUAACACGUAGGUAAUGUACCUUUGGGUGGGGAAUAACUUAGGGAAACUUAAGCUAAUACCGCAUAAUGCAGCGGCUCCUCAUGGAGACAGUUGUUAAAGAUUUAUCGCCUAAAGAGCAGCCUGCGGCAGAUUAGCUAGUUGGUAAGGUAAUGGCUUACCAAGGCUACGAUCUGUAACCGACCUGAGAGGGUGGUCGGUCACACUGACACUGAAUAACGGGUCAGACUCCUACGGGAGGCAGCAGUCGGGAAUUUUGGGCAAUGGGCGAAAGCCUGACCCAGCAACGCCGCGUGAAGGAUGAAGUAUUUCGGUAUGUAAACUUCGUAAGAAUAGGAAGAAUAAAUGACGGUACUAUUUGUAAGGUCCGGCUAACUACGUGCCAGCAGCCGCGGUAAUACGUAGGGACCAAGCGUUGUUCGGAUUUACUGGGCGUAAAGGGCGCGUAGGCGGCGUGGUAAGUCAGCUGUGAAAUCUCCGAGCUUAACUCGGAACGGUCAGCUGAUACUGCUGUGCUAGAGUACAGAAAGGGCAAUCGGAAUUCUUGGUGUAGCGGUGAAAUGCGUAGAUAUCAAGAGGAACACCUGAGGCGAAGGCGGGUUGCUAGGCUGAUACUGACGCUGAGUGCGCGAAAGCUAGGGUAGCAAACGGGAUUAGAUACCCCGGUAGUCCUAGCCCUAAACGAUGAAUGCUUGGUGUCUGGAGUUUUAAGUCUCCGGGUGCCGUCGCUAACGCUUUUAGCAUUCCGCCUGGGGAGUACGCACGCAAGUGUGAAACUCAAAGGAAUUGACGGGGACCCGCACAAGCGGUGGAGCAUGUGGUUUAAUUCGACGCA
rnacentral:rRNA from 1 species